rnacentral:rRNA from 1 species
UACAGAGGUCUCAAGCGUUGUUCGGAUUCAUUGGGCGUAAAGGGUGCGUAGGCGGCGCGGUAAGUCGGGUGUGAAAUCUCGGGGCUUAACUCCGAAACUGCAUUCGAUACUGCCGUGCUUGAGGACUGGAGAGGAGACUGGAAUUUACGGUGUAGCGGUGAAAUGCGUAGAUAUUCGCAAGAACACCAGUGGCGAAGGCGGCUUACUGGUCCGGUUCUGACGCUGAGGCGCGAAAGCGUGGGGAGCAAACAGG